rnacentral:rRNA from 1 species
CCUAUGGGGGGCAGCAGGCGCGAAAACUUUACAAUGCGGGAAACCGUGAUAAGGGAAUCUCGAGUGCCAGCAUAUAAUGUUGGCUGUCCAGAUGCCUAAAAAGCAUCUGUUAGCAAGGGCCGGGCAAGACCGGUGCCAGCCGCCGCGGUAACACCGGCGGCCCGAGUGGUAACCGCUUUUAUUGGGUCUAAAGGGUCUGUAGCCGGCCAAGUAAGUCCCUUGGGAAAUCUGGCAGCUUAACUGUCAGGCUGCUAGGGGAUACUGCUAGGCUUGGGACCGGGAGAGGUGAGAGGUACCUUGGGGGUAGGGGUGAAAUCUUGUGAUCCUCGGGGGACCACCAGUGGCGAAGGCGUCUCACCAGAACGGGUCCGACGGUAAGGGACGAAAGCUAGGGGCACGAACCGGAUUAGAUACCCCAGUAGUCC